UGUGUGUUAGUGGAAGCGUCUGGAAAGGCGUGCGAUACAGGGUGACAGCCCCGUACACAAAAAUGCACAUGCUGUGAGCUCGAUGAGUAGGGCGGGACACGUGGUAUCCUGUCUGAAUAUGGGGGGACCAUCCUCCAAGGCUAAAUACUCCUGACUGACCGAUAGUGAACCAGUACCGUGAGGGAAAGGCGAAAAGAACCCCGGCGAGGGGAGUGAAAAAGAACCUGAAACCGUGUACGUACAAGCAGUGGGAGCCUCUUUAUGGGGUGACUGCGUACCUUUUGUAUAAUGGGUCAGCGACUUAUAUUCUGUAGCAAGGUUAACCGAAUAGGGGAGCCGAAGGGAAACCGAGUCUUAACUGGGCGUUAAGUUGCAGGGUAUAGACCCGAAACCCGGUGAUCUAGCCAUGGGCAGGUUGAAGGUUGGGUAACACUAACUGGAGGACCGAACCGACUAAUGUUGAAAAAUUAGCGGAUGACUUGUGGCUGGGGGUGAAAGGCCAAUCAAACCGGGAGAUAGCUGGUUCUCCCCGAAAGCUAUUUAGGUAGCGCCUCGUGAAUUCAUCUCCGGGGGUAGAGCACUGUUUCGGCAAGGGGGUCAUCCCGACUUACCAACCCGAUGCAAACUGCGAAUACCGGAGAAUGUUAUCACGGGAGACACACGGCGGGUGCUAACGUCCGUCGUGAAGAGGGAAACAACCCAGACCGCCAGCUAAGGUCCCAAAGUCAUGGUUAAGUGGGAAACGAUGUGGGAAGGCCCAGACAGCCAGGAUGUUGGCUUAGAAGCAGCCAUCAUUUAAAGAAAGCGUAAUAGCUCACUGGUCGAGUCGGCCUGCGCGGAAGAUGUAACGGGGCUAAACCAUGCACCGAAGCUGCGGCAGCGACACUAUGUGUUGUUGGGUAGGGGAGCGUUCUGUAAGCCGUUGAAGGUGGCCUGUGAGGGUUGCUGGAGGUAUCAGAAGUGCGAAUGCUGACAUAAGUAACGAUAAAGCGGGUGAAAAGCCCGCUCGCCGGAAGACCAAGGGUUCCUGUCCAACGUUAAUCGGGGCAGGGUGAGUCGACCCCUAAGGCGAGGCCGAAAGGCGUAGUCGAUGGGAAACAGGUUAAUAUUCCUGUACUUGGUGUUACUGCGAAGGGGGGACGGAGAAGGCUAUGUUGGCCGGGCGACGGUUGUCCCGGUUUAAGCGUGUAGGCUGAUUUUCCAGGCAAAUCCGGAGAAUCAAGGCUGAGGCGUGAUGACGAGGCACUACGGUGCUGAAGCAACAAAUGCCCUGCUUCCAGGAAAAGCCUCUAAGCAUCAGGUAACAUCAAAUCGUACCCCAAACCGACACAGGUGGUCAGGUAGAGAAUACCAAGGCGCUUGAGAGAACUCGGGUGAAGGAACUAGGCAAAAUGGUGCCGUAAC
rnacentral:rRNA from 1 species